UGGUUCUAUGGUAAAUGUCAUUAACGUUU
rnacentral:piRNA from 1 species